UCGACUUGGAGGUGUGCCCUUGAGGAGGGUUCCGGAGCUAACGCGUUAAGCGACCGCCUGGGGAGUACGGCCGCAAGAUAAAACUCAAAUGAAUUGACGGGGGCCCGCACAAGCGGAGGAGCAUGUGGUUUAAUUCGAUGCAACGCGAAGAACCUUACCUACUCUUGACAUCCAGAGAACUUUCCAGAGAUGGAUUGGGGCCUUCGGGAACUCUGAGACAGGGGCUGCAUGGUUGUCGUCAGCUCGUGUUGUGAAAUGCUGGAGUAAGUCCCGCAACGAGCGCAACCCUUAUCCUUUGUUGCCAGCGGUUAGGCCGGGAACUCAAAGGAGACUGCCAGUGAUAA
rnacentral:rRNA from 1 species